rnacentral:rRNA from 1 species
GAUGAACGCUGGCGGCGUGCCUAAUACAUGCAAGUCGAGCGAACGGACGAGAAGCUUGCUUCUCUGAUGUUAGCGGCGGACGGGUGAGUAACACGUGGAUAACCUACCUAUAAGACUGGGAUAACUUCGGGAAACCGGAGCUAAUACCGGAUGAUAUUUUGAACCGCAUGGUUCAAAAGUGAAAGACGGUCUUGCUGUCACUUAUAGAUGGAUCCGCGCUGCAUUAGCUAGUUGGUAAGGUAACGGCUUACCAAGGCAACGAUGCAUAGCCGACCUGAGAGGGUGAGCGGCCACAAUGGAGCUGAGACGCGGUCCAGACUCCUGAGGGAGGCAGCAGUAGGGAAUCGUCGGCAAUGGGCGAAAGCCUGAAAAAGCUACGCCGCGGGAGUGAAGAAGGUCUUCGGAUCGGAAAGCACUGUUAUUGGGGAAAAACAGAAGUAUAAGUAACUGUGCCCGGCUUGACGGUACCAAAUAAAAAAGCACCGGCUAACUACGUG